AUUGAACGCUGGCGGCAUGCCUUACACAUGCAAGUCGAACGGCAGCACGGGAGCAAUCCUGGUGGCGAGUGGCGAACGGGUGAGUAAUAUAUCGGAACGUGCCCAGUCGUGGGGGAUAACGUAGCGAAAGCUACGCUAAUACCGCAUACGAUCUAUGGAUGAAAGCGGGGGAUCGCAAGACCUCGCGCGAUUGGAGCGGCCGAUAUCAGAUUAGGUAGUUGGUGAGGUAAAGGCUCACCAAGCCGACGAUCUGUAGCUGGUCUGAGAGGACGACCAGCCACACUGGGACUGAGACACGGCCCAGACUCCUACGGGAGGCAGCAGUGGGGGAAUUUUUGGACAAUGGGCGCAAGCCUGAUCCAGCAAUGCCGCGUGCAGGAUGAAGGCCUUCGGGUUGGUUAACGUA
rnacentral:rRNA from 1 species